AGCCCUGGGGUGUAACACGCAAGAUUGCAAAUCUUGAGACGCAGAUUGAACGUCUGCCGGGGCUU